GGGAGGUUAUUCUGCAGAAAGAGAGGAAGAAUCAAGUGAGAAAUCUUGAAAAAAAAAUAGAGAAGAAAAAGUUAGGAAGAAAGUUUUUAGUUGCAAGAUAGUAGAGGUUCUGGAGGAUUUUUGGGGGAACGACUUCUGAGGAGGAAACUAAGUCUGGAAAAGAUGUAAGGCGAGCUAACCUUUCUAAGCUUUUAUGUUAAUUAUCUAAUACUAUUGUAUGACUAUUCAUGUAUUGAAUUAUUGUGUAUGCCUAUG
rnacentral:lncRNA from 1 species